CGUACCCAAAAUACUUUCCUCUAUCACGCACACAGUGAUGGCCGGAAUCAGACCUUUUCUAGCAUCUCCGACACCGGAUUCCGGCGGACGAGGUCGCAUGCGAUGGUUUUCCGGCGCCGGAGGUCAGCAAGGGGAAAAUAAUGCAUGCAUGGACGAUGAGAAGAGACGAAAGUUAAGGGAGACUGAGAAGUGUGAGAGACUCAUGCACUUAAUCUGUUGGGGUCCCAAGUAGCUCAUCAAUUAAUGCAUGCUUUGAGAAAUAUAUAUACAUAGUCCUACAAUGGAGCAGGAGAAAACUACAUAAAUCGUGAUAGGAACACACUAAUGUUGUCUAUUAUCAGGAGAAGUUGUAAUCCAUCAGAGGGUGAUCAAUCAUUGUAGGGAGACCUAGUUGUAAAUCUUCGAAAUUGGCGGCCAAUUGUCAUCCAGCCAGCACCCUAUAAAACUUGUAUUUUUGUAUGCUUGCAAUUGUGGAAUAAAAUAUGUUGUGAAAUUUUAACAUGUCUAAUAA